rnacentral:rRNA from 1 species
GACGAACGCUGGCGGCGUGCUUAACACAUGCAAGUCGAACGGAAAGGCCCUGCUUUUGUGGGGUGCUCGAGUGGCGAGGGGGUGAGUAACACGUGUGUAACCUGCCCUUGUCUGUGGGAUAACUUCAGGAAACUGGGGCUAAUACCGGAGAGGAGCUCAUGCUGCGUGGGGGGGGUUGGAAAGUUUCGGCGGUUGGGGAUGGACUCGCGGCUUAUCAGCUUGUUGGUGGGGUAGUGGCUGACCAAGGCUUUGACGGGUAGCCGGCCUGAGAGGGUGACCGGCCACAUUGGGACUGAGAUACGGCCCAGACUCCUACGGGAGGCAGCAGUGGGGAAUAUUGCACAAUGGGCGGAAGCCUGAUGCAGCAACGCCGCGUGCGGGAUGACGGCCUUCGGGUUGUAAACCGCUUUCGCCUGUGACGAAGCGUGAGUGACGGUACUGGGUAAAGAAGCACCGGCUAACUACGUG